AAUACAACCAAAUUCAUUACAAUAGAUGGAUUUCAGUCCUAACACUGGAAUGUAAAUAAGCAUAACAGAAGUGAAUCAUAUAACGUGGUUUAUACAAAGCACGAUAGUCUUCCUGUGAGUACAACUUCUACCACACAUAGCCUCUAAACAAAAGAAAAGAUAACCAUGAGUUAUUUGUACUUAUAAUAGAGCAACAUCACAACAGUUCUAGUUAUCCGCGCUGUUACGUUGCAUAUAUAUAAGAGAAGCCAUGCAUGUACCUAGCUAGAACGAAUCAGCCCAUAGCAUUUUUCAGACUCAUUUCGUGUCCUCGGUUUCUCAAUGCUGCUCUAACUGUAGCAUCUUAUCUCUGUUUUCACCGCGGGUAUCAUGAAUCCUUUUGCUUACAUAGCAGCAGGGUCUUCCGACAUGGUCUCAUGUAACAGCCGUACAGCUGUUUUAUCUCCAAAAGAUGAUAUUGCUGUAUGCAAAUAAACAGUCAAGCACAUCAUGCAACUGUCACAUUUUGCUUCGAUACUCAGCCACUGGUAGGCCAGAAGUUUGUAGAAGAAUAUCCAACAUCAUCAUGUGAGGUAUUUUCACCAUCGGUGGAGCACCCUGUAGGUUUUAAUGACAUGCCAUAAAUUUGCAGAAUUUACAGGGAAACCUAAGACAUUUUAGAAAUUACUUCAUACCUAAGACAUAGAACAAUUGGCAUGCCGUCCUCAAACUAUAUUCUUUGUAGUCACAAUAAAAGCUAUCCAGUGUGGAGAAAUAGGUAUGCUGAUUUAUAAGACGCUCGCCACAAAAUUUGAUUAUUAGUAGAUGAUCCAGGACCUAGGGAAAGCUGAUUACACAUUUGUUGACUGUCUAUUGACCUGUGUUGUGAUGAUAGCAUAGAAUGACAAUCAGAGUAAUUGCUUAGCACUAUUAUUAGGUCUCAGGCUUCUCCUAGGUGUGUACCUAUUUCUGAAACGUACAUAGGCUAGAGAGGGAAUCCAUGAUAGAACGAAUAUAAAAAGUUAUAGUCUCCUUUGUCCGAACAUCAAAAGUAAAUUAGUUAAAGAAGGAUUCGGAGAGCACCUGCUAAUAAGCAAUUGCAUCUAUCAUGGUAAAUAAGCACAUCACAUAAGGGACAUCCAACAUCUGUUUUUAUAAGCUGCAAUCAUAGAACUGAUUCUCAUCCAUCAUCAUCAAAUUGAAAGAGAAAUUACCUGUUAGUCGCUGGACAGCCGCCGAGGUUGUAUCAUGGGUUCUGAGCAAGAAAGGAGGCGAAGGAUCCAUGUAUGGUUUCGUCUGGUCGACAGGAAGAUAUAUAUAGUAAGAAAUGAUACAGCUGAAUAUAUAUAUAGAAGGCCCACUAUUCGAUCCAGCUGAAGCUUGUAAUGAGCCUGCAGGCAUCAUCCAGACAUAUGUAUAGUAAGCAAUGAUAUAAGUUUAUCACAAUAUCUCAAGUAACAAAGAACUGGUGAACUGAUGAUUUAAUGAAAAAUCCUUGAAUGUGCAGAUCCAAACAGUAAUAGCAAGUUAAAGAUCAAGUUGGACAGGGUAACGUCUAAUUGGCAUCACCCUUUUUAUAAAAGUCAAAAAGAUCUUAAUGGCCUCGUGACUGAAUAAGAUGUGUAGAUGGAGAAACCAUGCGUAUGAAGCUGCUCAGUACAACUUAACUGAAUUCACUGACUUGAGGUAACGAUGAAGAAAGAAUAAAACAUUCAUAAAAUGCAGAUUCUCUCUUCUUUGAAGAUAUUACAUGACUCGGCAUCUUCUUGUAGGAAAGAACAAAGCAAAUAAAGAAGGAUAAAAUAAGAACAAAGCAAUGAACAGAGCAUCAAGGAAUCAGUAGAACAAUUUCAGCUCACCAUGUCGCGUCACCCCGCGGCUGACCUUCAUGUUCAAAUAACCAAGUAUAUCACAUCAUUUCUGGUUCAUGUACCCCUGGAAAACACAAUGACAUCAGUUAAUGGCGUACACAUAUUUAAAAAAAACUAUGAGCAUAUUUUCACUAACAAUACACACACCAACACCAAAAUCAGAAGAAACAAAAUUGAGAAUAUGACAAGUGAACUUGGCACACGAUAAAUUUGACAGGCCAAUGUAUGACAACUUGUCAUGUCCAUAUGGCAAAAAGCAAUACUUGACACAAAUUAAUUUAUCUGUAAAAAUGACAUAAGGAAUGUACUCAAUAAGCAUGCUAAGAUACAGUCAAGCGUCGAAUGGGUUACUUCGAUUCUGAUAUAGCAAUUACACAAAAAAUAUAGUUCAUAACAGCAUGACAAGUGAGGUGAAAGCAUUGAUAUAUCUGAACACUUCAUCAUUUUACUGAAAAUUAAUAUUUGUAUGCCUUUUCUACUUGUGAAAUAUUUGUAUUGUUUGACCAUGAUGUAUUUUGUCUAAGUAGACGAUGAUAUACUGAACUUACUGACAAGUGUCAAAUUCUUGAUUUAUUAGACAUCUAACUAAGGGAUAUACAGGGACAGUUAACAACAUUUAUCGCUGCAAUGCGCAUGUACUGCAUUUAGACAACAAGUGCCGAUCAUCAGUCCCAACACUGAAGAUUCAUUUCAUUUUAUCAUCAUUUUAUCUAGAAUAGAUAAAUGCAACAAAUGAUAGGAGUUGGGCAUCGAAUGGCGCCAAAUGGCACAGUGUCCAUGUCAAACCAAGAGUAAUUGAAAAUAAAUGCUUGUCAAUUUGGCAAUACCAACGAUCCUUUUAGUAAUGAAAAUUGAAGGUUCAAACUAUGCAAUAGAGUUUUCAAAAUGCGAUCGUAAAUUCUCUCUAUACAAUUUUCUGUGUUAGCUCAAAGUUAAAAAGGCCUAUACUGAUUUGACAUAUAUAUAUACCACUUUAAUUAAAAUAAGUAAGCUUGUUCUGUACAAUAAGAUGUAGAUGCACAUUUUAAUUCAGUACCUCGCGUUGGUAAUAUAUUUAUUUUUCACUAAGCUUUUGAUUGAUAUAUCUUAUUAAGGCGCAAUGCCCAAAUUCAAUCCUGGAGUAUUCUGAAACAGUUUGUGUUUCUUUAAUAUCUUUUCAGUUUUAGAAAUUUAGGUGCUUGGUAAGAAUUAGCAAAAAGCCCCCAUUCGGACAGUUAGGAGAGGAUGCUGCAAUUUCCAAACUAAGUACAAAUAGAUAUGUGAUACACAUGAAAUAAAUCAUUAUAACUCAGACCACACUAAAGUAGAACGAAUCAAAGGUAUGGACAUAAUAAAACUGAACUUCAGUUAUACAAAUAUGCAUCAACACAGUAGCCAUUCAGUUCAUAGUUUACAGGGGAAAGGAAUAAACAACUGCAUUGCUUGCCGGUUCGCUAGUGUUGUACAAUGACAAAUGCCAAUACCUUGUUUCUCCAGGACCAGCAGCAUGGUGGGGUCGGAUGCACUCAUCAUCACUUCAUGUGUGCGGAGCUCCCCAAGCCACACCCGUGGUCACCUCUCUUGCUGCCUAUCCAACUCGCUGCACCAUGCUCCGUGCUCACCGGUGCUAUCCGUCGACCCGCUUUGGUCGAGGCACUACCAGGAUGCUCGAUUUCGCACGGGUCUCUGUUUCCUUGUCUAAAUCCCGUCCAGAAGCUUCCCUACAGAGAAAGAAAGAGCAUCACUGCUGUAGCUACCCAGGGUACUAUAAAUAGAUGGAUGGAAGCAAGACUAAAAAUAAAAAAAUAGAGCAGAUAGUUCAUUUAGUAUAGCACUUUCCUUUUUCUUUUUGAAGGAUCUAGAACAGCAGUUAGGACCAAUAGAACUCCAUUUUGCCGAUCAGGUGUUAGCAAAAGGAUAAUCCCUCGAAAUGCAAUACAUGUUGCAAAACAGUCAAGAUCAUCUAUAAAAAUACGAAGAAAAAAAUACACAUCUUACCCUUCUGCUUGCACUCCUCGACGGCCUGCUGCUUCUCCCUGUCAUUGGCCGCCUCCCCUCCCCUGCAGCCACACCCCAGAUCUGGAACAUUAAAAUGAUCAGCAGACCAAGCACCAUGAUAGCACGCACAUAAACAAUAAUACGCAUGUACCUAGGAAUUAGAGCAGCUAACCUUGACGAGGAGAACAGAGAUGCAACAGAUUGAGAACCUGCAAAACAGAUGGGAACGAUCUGGUCAGAGCACAACCAUGGUACAGUACACACAAGCAAAAGAACACUGCACAAAUAAAGGACCAAAACUGGACAUAUAGAAUCUCCGGAGGUGGCAGUUAGAUUCUGGCACAAGAGAGAGAUUUCAUCGCCUCCAGCUAGAGCUUGCCUGCGGGCUGUCUUACAUUGCGUCCGACUCAAAGGCAAGGUGAGGAGGCAGGGGAGGGGGAGCAAAAGGGUUGGGAGGAGGACCUGCGAGGGCGACGACAUCGUCCUUGCCUACCUUGUAGGAGAGGACGCUUCUGGAAACUCAUGCAUUGCGCUCACCGGCGCUCGCUGUCGCCCAGCCGACGAGUCUCCCCCAACCUCCGACCCCGCCCACAUCCGCCGCUCCUUCAACCCAUGCUGCUUCCGCCCGCAGCCACCGUGCCCUUCAUGACCUGCGGCCCUGCCCCCUCUUCCUCGGCCAGCUCUCAUGUCUUCCAUCGCGUCGUCGAUCUGGGAUGUCCGACGCAUCGUGGUCGUCAUCGCGCCGUCCUCCUCGAUCUAUGGCCGCAGCGAGGAUGCCAGAUAUGAGGUGGAGACGAGCGGCGCAAGAGGGCCGCGUGAGACGAGCGAGGACGGGAUUGGGUGCGGCGCACGCGGAGAGGAUUUGGGCAGGGGCGGCGCGGAUCUGGUGGAUGGAGUAGCCCUCAUCGUCCACCUCCCCUGUCCAUUCAUCCCGCCACCGAGCUCGCAGGCGCGGCGAGGAAUAGCAAGCGGCGGCGAGGCUCCGGGGGAGGCCGUGCCGAGGCAAGGAGGAGGGAUGGAGGAGGCGAGGGAGGCUGUGGGGAUCGAGGGGAAAGGGGGCUAGGGUUUGGGUGGUGGCUGGUGCGGGAGUGGGACGAGGCGAGGAUGGAUUGGCUGCGGGAUGCGCGGUGCGAGGUGCGGAUUGGCCAAAACCUCAUGCACGCGGCCACCGCCAAC
rnacentral:lncRNA from 1 species